rnacentral:rRNA from 1 species
GAUGAACGCUGGCGGCGUGCUUAACACAUGCAAGUCGAACGGAAAGGCCACACCUUGCUGUGGUGCUCGAGUGGCGAACGGGUGAGUAACACGUGGGUGAUCUGCCCUGUACUUCGGGAUAACCUUAGGAAACUGGGUCUAAUACCGGAUAGGAAUCACAGGUGGUUGGGGGGUUUGAGAGCUUUUGCGGUCUGGGGUGAGCUCGCGGGCUAUCAGCUUGUGGGGGGGGUAGUGGCCUACCCAGGCGUAGACGGGGGGCCGGCCUGAGAGGGUGUACGGCCACAUUGGGACUGAGAUACGGCCCAGACUCCAACGGGAGGCAGCAGUGGGGAAUAUUGCACAAUGGGCGCAAGCCUGAUGCAGCGACGCCGCGUGGGGGAUGACGGCCUUCGGGUUGUAAACUCCUUUCGUCAGGGACGAAGCGAAAGUGACGGUACCUGGAGAAGAAGCACCGGCUAACUACGUG